AUGAACGCUGGCGGCAUGUCUAAGGCAUGCAAGUUGAAGGUCUGUAGCAAUACAGGCCUGGCAGACGGGUGCGUAACACAUUGGUAAUCUACCUCCAUCUCGAGUACAACUUCCCGAAAGGGGAGAUAAUUCUCGAUGGUCAUGCGGGGACGUAAGUCAUUCGCAUGUAAAGCUCCGGCGGAUGGAGAGGAGCCUAUGGCCCAUCAGCUUGUUGGUAGGGUAAUGGCCUACCAAGGCGAUGACGGGUAGCGGGUGUGAGAGCAUGACCCGCCUCACUGGGACUGAGACACUGCCCAGACUCCUACGGGAGGCUGCAGUCGAGAAUCUUCCUCAAUGGCCGAAAGGCUGAAGGAGCAAUGCCGCGUGAUCGAAGAAGCCCCUCGGGGUGUAAAGAUCUUUUAUCAGGGACGAAUUCGUGACGGUACCUGAUGAAUAAGCCACUGCUAACUUCGU
rnacentral:rRNA from 1 species